rnacentral:misc_RNA from 1 species
UCUCCGGCACCUCAGGGAUGGUGGAAAGAGCUCCAGACUUAUCAUAAACGACGUAGUAUUCAUGGCCCGGUCGACCUUUACUACCAAAUAUGCCGCUAGAAUUCUGUUUAGACUUGAACAUGGAUUUCAAGAACUUGUUAAGUGACCGAGAAAUUUUAGAGGUUUUCUUUGAGACAGAAGGAGCAAGAGAAAGAGGAAGAGGAGGCUG